rnacentral:rRNA from 1 species
GAGAGUAACUGUUCNNGGUAUUGANGGUAUUUANNCNAGAANGCCNCGGCUAANCUACGUGCCAGCAGCCGCGGUAAUACGUAGGUGGCAAGCGUUNUCCGGAUUUAUUGGGCGUAAAGCGAGCGCAGGCGGUUUUUUAAGUCUGAUGUGAAAGCNUUCGGCUCAACCGAAGAAGUGCAUCGGAAACUGGGAAACUUGAGUGCAGAAGAGGACAGUGGAACUCCAUGUGUAGCGGUGAAAUGCGUAGAUAUAUGGAAGAACACCAGUGGCGAAGGCGGCUGUCUGGUCUGUAACUGACGCUGAGGCUCGAAAGUAUGGGUAGCAAACAGGAUUAGAUACCCUNGUAGUCCAUACCGUAAACGAUGAAUGCUAAGUGUUGGAGGGUUUCCGCCCUUCAGUGCUGCAGCUAACGCAUUAAGCAUUCCGCCUGGGGAGUACGGCCGCAAGGCUGAAACUCAAAGGAAUUGACGGGGGCCCGCACAAGCGGUGGAGCAUGUGGUUUAAUUCGAAGCUACGCGAAGAACCUUACCAGGUCUUGACAUACUAUGCAAAUCUAAGAGAUUAGACGUUCCCUUCGGGGACAUGGAUACAGGUGGUGCAUGGUUGUCGUCAGCUCGUGUCGUGAGAUGUUGGGUUAAGUCCCGCAACGAGCGCAACCCUUAUUAUCAGUUGCCAGCAUUAAGUUGGGCACUCUGGUGAGACUGCCGGUGACAAACCGGAGGAAGGUGGGGAUGACGUCAAAUCAUCAUGCCCCUUAUGACCUGGGCUACACACGUGCUACAAUGGAUGGUACAACGAGUUGCGAACUCGCGAGAGUAAGCUAAUCUCUUAAAGCCAUUCUCAGUUCGGAUUGUAGGCUGCAACUCGCCUACAUGAAGUCGGAAUCGCUAGUAAUCGCGGAUCAGCAUGCCGCGGUGAAUACGUUCCCGGGCCUUGUACACACCGCCCGUCACACCAUGAGAGUUUGUAACACCCAAAGUCGGUGGGGUAACCUUUUAGGAACCAGCCGCCUAAG